rnacentral:rRNA from 1 species
AUUGAACGCUGGCGGCAGGCCUAACACAUGCAAGUCGAGCGGAUGAAGGGAGCUUGCUCCUGGAUUCAGCGGCGGACGGGUGAGUAAUGCCUAGGAAUCUGCCUGGUAGUGGGGGAUAACGUCCGGAAACGGGCGCUAAUACCGCAUACGUCCUGAGGGAGAAAGUGGGGGAUCUUCGGACCUCACGCUAUCAGAUGAGCCUAGGUCGGAAUAGCUAGUUGGUGGGGUAAAGGCCUACCAAGGCGACGAUCCGUAACUGGUCUGAGAGGAUGAUCAGUCACACUGGAACUGAGACACGGUCCAGACUCCUACGGGAGGCAGCAGUGGGGAAUAUUGGACAAUGGGCGAAAGCCUGAUCCAGCCAUGCCGCGUGUGUGAAGAAGGUCUUCGGAUUGUAAAGCACUUUAAGUUGGGAGGAAGGGCAGUAAGUUAAUACCUUGCUGUUUUGACGUUACCAACAGAAUAAGCACCGGCUAACUUCGU